UUUCCGUAGGUGAACCUGCGGAAGGAUCAUUCAUAAUAAAAUGUUUUAUGGCACUUUUUAAAGAUCCAUAUCCACCUUGUGUGCAAUGUUAGAUCUCGUCAAUCUUGGCGAGAUUUUUAUACAUCAACUCAUUCUUUAACUAAUUUGUCUGAAAAAUAUUAUGAAUACUUAAUUCAAAAUACAACUUUCAACAACGGAUCUCUUGGCUCUC
rnacentral:misc_RNA from 1 species